rnacentral:lncRNA from 1 species
AUUAUGAGUAAAAUUUUCCGUCAAGCUUAAAGAAAACAAGAAGAAUGACGGAAAAAAAGCACAUUAGUUUUUCAGUAAUGCGUAAUUUCUUCCGGAAAAUUUAGUAAUUUGUAGAUGUGUAGAUUCUUCGCACACUGAGUUGCAUUGCAUUAAACACUUAUGCGAAAAAUUCAUUGAAAGAAAAACAGUUUCAAAUGAGAAUCUGCUUGAAUUCAUAGAAAUUUAGAUUGCCGCGAUCGCAAAUCAAAACGCCUUCAAUUAAUUGAAUAGGCACACCGAGCUCCUACGAGGUCGAAUAGUGGUAUCACACCCCACAGCACAUAUAGCAUAAAAUUUGUAUUAUAAAUCGUAUAGUGUUUUGUUGAUUGUAUUUGACAGUAAAAAAAAUAUUAACUUUGAUUAAUGAAUUUGAAAAUUUUUUUUUAAGGCAUUCCUUGCUUCACUUUAUCACAUAUUUUCACUCUGCAUCCGUUAAGAUGACUGAAAAAUGGUUGCAGGAUAGUUUCUCUCUUUUCAACAUUCAUCUGGUGCCCAUAAAAUCUCACGUGCCAGGCUUAAGCGGCUUUAUCCUAUGUAUAAAGCAGGUUCUAUUGCUGUAGGUCAAAGAUUGUGCGAAAUAUCAUUCUUCGAGAAUGAAUCAUACUGAGGGUUAUACACACAUGUAUGAUUAAGGGCCUCUAAAAAAGUUAUAAAAAUGUUCACGUCCACGAGCAGGUUCUGAUCAUCCAGUCGAGAAGAACAACAUGGGGUCAUUGGGUUCAUUGGCAACAUGUUAACAUUCAAGGAUGCAAUUUAUCAACGGGACAUGAAAUAAAUAAAUACACUGGUCCUGAACCAAGCGAAACAUCUGGAAAAUCCUCACUUUCCGGUUCGGCUGAAUAAGUCAGAUGAUAGCGAUGAAAUGAGUUUUAUUUCGCGAAGGCAAUGCGGUGAGAAACUGGACCAUUUCGGGUUUGUUUACAUCGGCAAUGGCGAGGACAGACAAACAUCCAUCGACGGUGCCCAGGACGACAGCACGUCCAUCUUCGGUGCUCUCCACUGCACUCAGUUCUGCCUGCACUCGGAAGUUUGCUAUCAUCUCUGCAUCUGCUAUCCUGUUUUGAGAAAAAUCAAAAUAAGCUUAUUACAUACAAAGUGAAGGAAAUCUCGAACGCCCAUGCUGUAUCUCACAUUGAAAAACGCAGACUUGCUGAUUUUUCUCGACCUCUUAGCUCUUAAGUGUUAGAAUUUAUUUUUUAGUAGUUACAGGAAAAUUUUCUGAGUCCCAAAGUAGUACGGUUGCGAUGAAAAAUAUUGAAAUAAAAUCGCGAUUUAAACAAUAAAACUGCAACUUUCUUCAGCAGUGAAAUCAGUAGCGUGGCUUGCUUGGUGAUGUAUCGAUUGAUCUGCCGUUUGAACCUAUGAAAAAGGAUCGAUAAACAGGGUGUUCGCAACGAACACCUUAACAAUCGAUACUUUACCAUAGCUUCAAAUGGAGAAAUAUCGAUAAUAAUCGAUUGUUCACGCCUUGCUACUGCAUGAAAAAAAAUUGUAAUAUUUUUUGCCAAUAAUGCCGAUUUCAAACAAUCAACAUAUGAGCUCCUUAUGUCAGAUAGGCAUUGAAAAAUCGCAGUUUAUUUCAAUUGUCAAUGAGAAAUGUUCCUUUAAUCAGGAGAUAGGCAACGUACAUAACCCUCCGAUGCAGUAGCAAUAAUUUUAACAUAUACCUUGUACCAAGUACUUGCAAAUGUAUUUAUUGGGCAGUAAAAUGAGAACACAUUUGUUCAAAAGUAAUUGUCUAUUUACAUCAAAGAGCGCCUAUUUGCAUUAAGACGUCAACUGUCCCAAAGUUUACAUUCGUUACUCCGAAAAAAAAAUUUUGGUAAAAUGUUUUGAGAUGGUAUUAGUUUAUUCGAAGAAAUUGGGGUACGAAUUUAUAAUCUGAGAAGAUUUCUUUUUCGUGUAUUAUCGCUUAUUAUUUCCUUCCGACCUCCUGAAAAUUCCAAAUUGAGCACGUGUUGUAGGUAUUAUUGGCGGGGUGAAUGUUGAAUAGGAUAUACGCUAAAAAAAUCUCUCAACAAUGAUCGAUUCUUCUUCAAUUAACAAUGUAUACAAUUGAGUGUUCACGUUAGUUGCAACAGUCGUUUAAUUUUGUUGACAAUUGUAUUCACAAUGCUAAUUUGAAUCGUCGAUUGAGCAUAAACUCAACUGCCAAAUGAAAUAAAAAUAAGGGAGAAAGAGGAAAGAAAGAAAGAACGAAAAUGCAGAUCCCGGGACUGCGGACUCUUAACUAUAUCUUGCGGUCAUAAUGUAGUAAGUGUAAUAUAAUAGUUACAUGAUACCCGAAGAGUUUUUUUUGCCGCGUUGUGAUAAUAUAAAACGUAUUCGUCUGUCUUGUUAAACAUGCAAAUAACAGAGAAGACACCCUCCGCCACCUUUGGAAUGAAUGUUUUCACCGUGUUGCCUUUUUUCAGUUCCAGUAAUUCAAGUCCUCCUCUAUAUCAUCAGCAACGGAAAAAAAACAAAAGUUUACAUUUGAUUUGUAUUAACUUCCAGAAUACCUCGAUUAGCGUGUACAAGACUGCAG